AUUCGAUGUGCGUGCGUCUUCAACAACAACAAAUUCGAAUCAAUUUUGAACCAAAAAUCAGAAAUUCGAGGUUAGGGUUUCUGGGUUAUUUAGCUUUGCGUUAUAUUGUAGCAGUUCUAAGCUUUCUCCUCCAUUAAAACAACUUCUGAGGGUUUUCAAAUGUAAUCGCCUUCAAUUGAUUGCUCGAAUUUUAUUACUCGAUUACUCAUUACUGCUCUAUUUUCUUCUGCUCGAAUUGCUUACAAUUGAUACGAAUUGCUGGAUUCUCUCUUCUGCUCGAUUAUCUGUUGAGUAAUCACCCAAAUCGAAAGUUUCAGAUAUUGGCAUACUUGCUACUGUCAUCAGCUUCUUCGGCCAUACCUAUGACAAACAGAAAGCGGGAAGGAGGUGACAACAUUUUCACAGAUUCAUGCACAGCAGCCAUAAGCAUGUCUCUCCUUGCUUUCAUUUCAUUGGCAUGUUCAUCCGUCACUGCUGGCUAUAAGCUCUCUACUCAGUCAUGAGGAAUUUCAGUUAGCUUUGUUCAAAAACAAGAAGAAAGAGAAUCUUUUUGCUAAUCGGUACGAGAGUCAUGAUGAAAGACCGUUUGCCACGUAUUGCGAUAGUGAACUCCGAUCGUUGCAAGCCCAAAAACUGCAGUCUGGAGUGUAAAAAGAGUUGUCCUGUUCAGACAGGGAAACGAUGUAUUGAGAUUAGAUCAGUAACACAAGAUAAAAAAAAAAAAAAAAAACUCGCGUUCAUCUCAGAGGAACUGUGCAUUGCUUGUGGUAUUUGUAUACAGGUCAUUACUUCUAUAAACUGUGCUAUUUAGUACUUAUCAUUGUUUACACUCACUCAUACACUUACAUUCUCACAUGCACAUGAUGUAUUAUGGUUGUUCAGCGCGCCUAAUUAUUACUUUGUUUUGAUUGUGGAUUAACGGAUGCAAAAAUGCCCUUUUGGAGCAAUUCAGAUCAUUAAUCUUCCAAAAGAUUUGAACAAAGAUACAACACAUCGUUAUGGCCCCAACACUUUCAAAUUACAUAGGUUACCUGUGCCAAGACAUGGACAAGUUCUUGGCUUAGUGGGAACAAAUGGUAUUGGAAAGACUACUCCUCUCAAAGUUUUGGCUGGAAAAUUGAAGCCCAAUUUGGGGAGAUUUGAUGUAAUAUGCUUAAUUUUGAUGACUGUUUGAGUUUUUGUUAUUGCUUCCUGGUAUCUUUUGCCUAUUUACAGAAUAUACUUAUACUGUAUGUUUUUCUACAGAAUCCGCCUAACUGGCAGGAAAUCUUAACUUAUUUCCGCGGAUCAGAACUGUAAAAGUAUUUUAUGCGCAUAUUGGAAGAUAAUCUGAAGCCAAAAUCAAGCCGCAAUAUGUGGAUAACAUUCCAAAGGAAGUACAGGGCAAUUUGGAGAGGUCUUAGCUAAAAUAGACGAGAAGGACAUGAAGGCUUCUCUUUGCAAUGAUCUGGAGCUAAAUAAAGUUCAAGAUCGUAAAGUGGGAGAUCUAUCGGGGGGUGAACUGCAGAGGUUUGCGAUUGCAGCUGUGGCUAUGAGUAGUGGUGUUAUAUCUAUGUUUGAUUCUGUAGUGUUUUUUUUUUUUUUAGUUUGUUAAAGUGUAAUAUUACAAGUUAUUGAAGAAAAUAUAUGUGUUUUAUGU